rnacentral:tRNA from 1 species
GCCGAGGUAGCUCAGUUGGUAGAGCACAGCCCUGAAAAGGCUGGUGUCGACAGU